GGCUGAAUGGUCUAGUGGUAUGAUUCUCGCUUUGGGUCUAGUACUUGCCUGCUUGCGAGAGGCCCCGGGUUCAAAUCCCGGUUCAGCCC